rnacentral:rRNA from 1 species
GAUGAACGCUGGCGGCGUGCCUAAUACAUGCAAGUCGAGCGAACAGACGAGGAGCUUGCUCCUCUGAUGUUAGCGGCGGACGGGUGAGUAACACGUGGAUAACCUACCUACAAGACUGGGAUAACUUCGGGAAACCGGAGCUAAUACUGGAUAACAUGUUGAACCGCAUGGUUCAACAGUGAAAGACGGUCUUGCUGUCACUUAUAGAUGGAUCCGCGCCGCAUUAGCUAGUUGGUAAGGUAACGGCUUACCAAGGCAACGAUGCGUAGCCGACCUGAGAGGGUGAUCGGCCACACUGGAACUGAGACACGGUCCAGACUCCUACGGGAGGCAGCAGUAGGGAAUAUUCCGCAAUGGGCGAAAGCCUGACGGAGCAACGCCGCGUGAGUGAAGAAGGUCUUCGGAUCGUAAAACUCUGUUAUUAGGGAAGAACAACUGUGUAAGUAACUAUGCACGUCUUGACGGUACCUAAUCAGAAAGCCCCGGCUAACUACGUG